UACGGAGGGGGCUAGCGUUGUUCGGAAUUACUGGGCGUAAAGCGCGCGUAGGCGGACCUGCAAGUCGGGGGUGAAAGCCCGAGGCUCAACCUCGGAACUGCCUUCGAUACUGCGGGUCUCGAGUCCGGAAGAGGUGAGUGGAAUUCCGAGUGUAGAGGUGAAAUUCGUAGAUAUUCGGAAGGAACACCAGUGGCGAAGGCGGCUCACUGGUCCGGUACUGACGCUGAGGCGCGAAAGCUAGGGGAGCAAACGGGG
rnacentral:rRNA from 1 species